rnacentral:rRNA from 1 species
GAUGAACGCUGGCGGCGUGCCUAAUACAUGCAAGUCGAGCGAACAGACGAGGAGCUUGCUCCUCUGACGUUAGCGACGGACGGGUGAGUAACACGUGGAUAACCUACCUAUAAGACUGGGAUAACUUCGGGAAACCGGAGCUAAUACCGGAUAAUAUAUUGAACCGCAUGGUUCAAUAGUGAAAGACGGUUUUGCUGUCACUUAUAGAUGGAUCCGCGCCGCAUUAGCUAGUUGGUAAGGUAACGGCUUACCAAGGCAACGAUGCGUAGCCGACCUAAGAGGGUGAUCGGCCACACUGGAACUGAGACACGGUCCAGACUCCUACGGGAGGCAGCAGUAGGGAAUCUUCCGCAAUGGGCGAAAGCCUGACGGAGCAACGCCGCGUGAGUGAUGAAGGUCUUCGGAUCGUAAAACUCUGUUAUUAGGGAAGAACAAAUGUGUAAGUAACUAUGCACGUCUUGACGGUACCUAAUCAGAAAGCCACGGCUAACUACGUG